rnacentral:rRNA from 1 species
GAUGCAGCCAUGCCGCGUGUGUGAAGAAGGCCUUCGGGUUGUAAAGCACUUUCAGUAGGGAGGAAGGUAGUGUAGUUAACACCUGCAUUAUUUGACGUUACCUACAGAAGAAGCACCGGCUAACUCCGUGCCAGCAGCCGCGGUAAUACGGAGGGUGCGAGCGUUAAUCGGAAUUACUGGGCGUAAAGCGCAUGCAGGCGGCCUGUUAAGUCAGAUGUGAAAGCCCGGGGCUUAACCUCGGAAUUGCAUUUGAAACUGGCAGGCUAGAGUCUUGUAGAGGGGGGGUAGGAAUUUCAGGUGUAGCGGUGAAAUGCGUAGAGAUCUGAAGGAAUACCAGUGGCGAAGGCGGCCCCCUCGGACAAAGACUGACGCUCAGAUGCGAAAGCGUGGGGAGCAAACAGGAUUAGAUACCCUGGUAG